CGAGCGUCAUUACAACCCUCAAGCUCUGCUUGGUCUUGGGUGCCACCAACAGUGGUGCACCUUAAAAUCAGUGGCGGUGCCAUUCGGCUUCAAGCGUAGUAGUAACUUCUCGCUUCUGGGGCUCGGGUGUACGCUGGCCAUCAACCCCUAAUUUUAUAAAGGUUGACCUCGGAUCAGGUAGGGAUACCCGCUGAACUUAA
rnacentral:misc_RNA from 1 species